UACCAGCUCUUCGAGUGGUGUGGAUGUUUAUUGGGCCUAAAGCAUCCGUAGCUGGCUGGGCAAGUCCCCUGUUAAAUCCACCGAUUUAAUCGUUGGAGUGCGGGGGAUACUGUUCGGCUAGGGGACGGGAGAGGCAGACGGUAUUUUCGGGGUAGGGGUGAGAUCCUAUAAUCCCGGGAAGACCACCAGUGGCGAAGGCUGUCUGCUAGAACGCGCCCGACGGUGAGGGAUGAAAGCUGGGGGAGCGAACCGGAUUAGAUACCCGGGUAGUCCCAGCUGUAAACGAUGCGGGCUAGGUGUUUGGGCGGCCACGUGCCGCUCUAGUGCCGCAGGGAAGCCGUUAAGCCUGCCGCCUGGGGAGUACGGCCGCAAGGCUGAAACUUAAAGGAAUUGGCGGGGGAGCACCACAAGGGGUGAAGCUUGCGGUUU
rnacentral:rRNA from 1 species